rnacentral:tRNA from 1 species
AGAGUUCUUCUUCUUUCUCAAGAA